rnacentral:rRNA from 1 species
GUCCACGCCCUAAACGAUGUCAACUGGUUGUUGGGAAUUAACUUUCUCAGUAACGAAGCUAACGCGUGAAGUUGACCGCCUGGGGAGUACGGCCGCAAGGUUGAAACUCAAAUGAAUUGACGGGGGCCCGCACAAGCGGUGGAGCAUGUGGUUUAAUUCGAAGCAACGCGAAGAACCUUACCUGGCCUUGACAUGCUGAGAACUUUCUAGAGAUAGAUUGGUGCCUUCGGGAACUCAGACACAGGUGCUGCAUGGCUGUCGU